GGAAAUGAUUAUAUCAGUAUCAGUUGUGUAAAGUAAGAAUCAUUUUUUAUUUUUUUAUCAAUUGUAUUUAGGCAAAACAUUGAAAAUAUUAAUAUUGUUUAAACAUCGAUAUUUAAAUUGCAAUUUCCUUUUUUGUUUUAAGCUAUUCUCAUUAUUAUUUGCAUCAAGAGCAUUGAAGUCCUUAAAUAACUACAUAACGCCUCUUGUCUCGCCUCGUCUAAGUCCAGGAACCGAAACUUAGGUGUGCUGAUUCCGGCGACGUCGGACAAGGUCAGUUUAAGAGGAACCACUGAAAAAAUGAAUAACUGAAUUGCUGGUUGUAUGGAUCGAGAAACAAAAGACUAAGAAGAGCCAUAGGUAACUACCCCUUCAAACAUGAAUACAAAUCUCUUUACUGAAUCAAGUAAUGGUAGCAUUAGUAAAAUAGCAUCACUUCUACAGAAUGGUGCAAAUUCAAAUCAGUGCACUACGCACGCAACCUCUGAAUUUAAUCAUGGGGAUGUCGUUCAAAUCUUACUAGAACACGGUGCUAAACCAAAUAUUAAGUCGAAUAAUGAAAGCAAAAUAAGUCCGCUUGGGUUUGCUAGUAACAAGGAACAUAUUGACAUUGUCUCUAAAUUUUUGAAGUACUCAUCUGACGCCAAUAUUUGUGACAGUAAUGGUCUUAGUCCUUUAUAUUCAGCUUCACGUGGUGGUCAUUUUGAAAUAGCAAAGUCGAGCCAAAGUAAAAAAAAACUCAAAAAGGAUUUAUCGCUCUUCAGGCAGCUUCAGAAUUUGGUCACAGUGAUAUUGUAAAAUUGUUACUUGGAAACUGAGCUGCACCGAAUGAAAGUUCAAACGAUGACAAGAAGACAUCACCACAUUAUUUAACCUCAACAAACGGUCAUCUUGAAACAGUAAAGUUGCUUUUACAAUUUGGUGCUGAUGUAAAUGAACGUACCUCUGAAGGACACACUGCUCUGCACGUUGCAUCAGAAAAUGGCAAAAUUGCUGUUGCGAAAUUGCUUCUAGAAAAUGGAGCAGACCCAAAUGUAGUGUCUACCUGUACUCCUCUUUAUGUAUCUUGUAUGAAUGGCCAUAUAAGCAAUGUUGAAAUUUUGCUUGAACAUGGAGCAACUAUUAACCUUA